rnacentral:lncRNA from 1 species
CUCUGAUGAUGAGAGAACUGUUGAGGAGACGAGUAGUGACGGUGCUGUGUCAAAGCUUGACUACAGAAGAAGGAGACAUUCAUCUGGCAGGAAGGGGAAGAGGAGGCGUUUGUACCAAAACAAAAGGAAUGACUCCUACAUUGUAAAAGAUCUCUCUUGCAUUCUCUAAACAAUUACUGUAAUAAGCAGUAUUAAUGCACAUUAAUCAUUUAUCAUGUGCAGUUACUUUUUUUUACUUUUUCAAAAACAAAAACAUAAUUUUUUUUUGCUUAUUCAUUGAUAUUCUUAUUUAGGUUUUUAGUAUUUUUAUUUUCAGAGCACAAAGAAAGAUCGGGGCAAGAGCAGAACAGAUGAAGAUCAACUCAAAGAGCUGAGCAUGUCACUUCCUGAGCUUCAACGGCAAAAAACAGUAUGAAAAUCCUCCCUUAUUUAUUGAUUCAAAACGUUACUAAGCUCAUUUAUUAAACAGAUGUGGUAUUAUUUCUUCAGGCCACACUUUAUACUCUGAAGAAGCUAAGAGAGGAAAUGGAUCAAGCUAAGAGCGAGCAUCACUCUCUCCAGCUCAGUGUGAAGGACAGCAGUGCACAGGCUCAGAACAUCACGUGUGAGCUCCAAAGACUGCAGGCCCAGAGGAACUUAUGCUUGAAGGAGGUCAGGGUUCUGCAGGAGCAACAGUGUGCAAGUCGCAGUGUGUCUGUUCUGGAGAGGGAAGAGAUGGACAGACUGCUGGAUAAUGCCAAGUCAGAACUGUUCUCAGAACAGAGGCGUUUCAGACACAAACUGGACUCUAUGCAUGAGAGGCUGGAUGAGGUGAGUCAGGAGCUGGAGCAGAGCGAGGAGGACUGCAGGGCUCUCCGACAGAAAUGCACUGAGCUGGAGGAGCAGCUGGCUGAUACAAUCAGAGAAAAAGAACAAAUAAAGCAGGUUCUCACUUUUGUUUUAUUCUUCUCAGUCUACAAUAAUAAUGUUUUUGAUAUCUGA